rnacentral:rRNA from 1 species
UACCAGCACCCCGAGUGGUCGGGACGUUUAUUGGGCCUAAAGCAUCCGUAGCCGGUUCUACAAGUCUUCCGUUAAAUCCACCUGCUUAACAGAUGGGCUGCGGAAGAUACUAUGGAGCUAGGAGGCGGGAGAGGCAAGCGGUACUCGAUGGGUAGGGAUAAAAUCCGUUGAUCCAUUGAAGACCACCAGUGGCGAAGGCGGCUUGCCAGAACGCGCUCGACGGUGAGGGAUGAAAGCUGGGGGAGCAAACCGG